rnacentral:rRNA from 1 species
UACGGGGGGGGCAAGCGGUGUUCGGAAUUACUGGGCGUAAAGGGCGCGUAGGCGGCCUUUUAAGGCGGACGUGAAAUCCCUCGGCUUAACCGAGGAACUGCGUCCGAUACUGAAAGGCUUGAAUCCGGGAGAGGGAUGUGGAAUUCCAGGUGUAGCGGUGAAAUGCGUAGAUAUCUGGAGGAACACCGGUGGCGAAGGCGGCAUCCUGGACCGGUAUUGACGCUGAGGCGCGAAAGCUAGGGGAGCAAACGGG